AGAUUGAGACCAGAUCCUUAUCUGAAAAUUUGGAUUCUGAAUCUGAUUUGACAAGAUGUUGGAACAUUUUUCUAGAAAUUCUCUCCAGACUAAAUAUUUUGAAGCUGAUAAGACGAUCUCGUCUGUACACUAAUCCUACUGAUGCUAUUCUCAGGAUGGAUUCCUACAGCAGAGUAAUAUUUCCUGUGUGCUUUAUACUUAUAAAUAUUAUUUACUGGAGUAUUCUUAUUAUUUAAACAAUAAUUUUCUUAAAGUUUUUUUUCUUGGCUUUCACAUUAGUCUCCCUAGAAGAUGAUGAUUGGUUCUAUAGGCUGUAUGUAUUGUGUACUGUAAGGUUUUUACAUCUUACAUAGAUUAAU